rnacentral:lncRNA from 1 species
GUCUUUCAACAUUUUAAAAGAGAUUGAAAUUGAAAACGAGAAUUAUAAAAGGCAACCGAUCACGCUUUGCUCCCCCCUUCAAAAGAAAGAAGUGUUGAAAAUGAAAAAGACUGUUAACCAAAUGAGUGCUGCUUUUAGAGUUGGAAGAGAACCAGUCCAGGCCAUGUGUGGUGCUCCUGUGCGGUGGUUGUGAUCCCGAGCAAGUCACUGAACCACUCAGCCCAUGAAACAAGCCGAGCAUGCACCUCUCAGGGCCAUAGGGAGGCCAGCGUGAGAAAAGCACGGAGAAAGCUUCAGUGAACCCCAAGUUGCUGCCCGGAUCCAGCGUCUGGUGGCUCUCACUGUGACUGUGGUUAGGCGGCCUUGACAUGUUGCUGUCAUGCCCGCCACUGAGAGAAACAAGGGAAUGAGUAUCAAGGAUGACCCAGGGCAGGCAGUGGGGUUUCCAGGGCAGGGCCUCUCCUGGGGAAGCCCAUCUUCUCCCACCUCUCAUGCAGUGAGAUUGGCUGCAGCCACUGUGAUGGCCUAGGGCAUGGAUUACACCGUGCUCUGCCCUGCUUGACUGACUUGGUUAUCUUCGCUCCUCACCAUCCCCUCCCUGUUCCUUCUUGGAAAUGGAAUGGCUCUUCUCAGCACAGCCACCCAGCCCCUGCACCCAGCCUCUGUGCCAAGCUGGCAGGAUAACGAAUGGCUCCACCUCCUCCUCGCCUCCGUCAGGAGGGGCUCUGAGCAACCCUCUGCUCACAGCCCUCUGUGGUUUCCCCUUAUCCUCCUUGGAGCUGCAUGGAGACUGCUUGUCUAGACAUUGAGAUGGCUUUACCAGGUGUCGCUCACUGCAUUGGGUUCCCUUCACGUUCAGCACCUACUGAAUACCCAGGAUAAUAACUGCACCACUGCGGGGUGCAGGAGGUGUCCCCAAAUGUCCAUAAGUGUACACACAUAUGUGCACACAUGCACAUGGGAAACUUUUAUUUAUUUAUUUAUUUAUUUAUUUAUUUAUUUAUUUUUGGAGACAGGGUCUCAUUCUGUCACCCAGGCUGGAGUGCAAUGGCACAAUCUCAGCUCACUGCAACCUCCACCUCCCAGGUUUAAGUGAUUCUCCUGCCUCAGCCUCCGGAGUAGCUGGGAUUACAAUAUGUGCCACCAUGCCCGGCUAAUUUUUGUAUUUUUAGUAGAGAUGGGUUUUUGCCACAUUGGCCAGGCUGGUCUCAAACACUUGACCUCAGGUGAUUCACCUGCCUCGGUCUCCCAAAGUGCUGGGAUUACAGGCAUAAGCCACUGUGUCUGGCCCAAUUUUUUAAAAUAUAAUAACAACUCUGGUGGGGAGCAAUGGCUCAUGCCUGUAAUCCCAACACUUUGGGAGGCCAGAGUGGGUGGAUCACUUGAGGUCAGGAGUUUGAGACCAGCCUGACCAACAUGGUGAAACCCUUCUCUACUAAAAAUACAAAAUUAGCUGGGCAUGGUGGUGCAUGCUGUAAUCCCAGCUAUUCGGGAGGCUGAGGCAGGAUAAUCGCUUGAACCCAGAAGAUGGAGGUGGCAGUGAGCCGAGAUCGUGCCACUGCACUUCAGCCUGGGCAACAAGAGCAAAACUUCGUCUCAAAAAAAAAACAAAAAAACAAAAAACAAUAAUAGUAAAAGUAAUAGUAACAACUCUGGUAAAACAGACAUCAGAUGUUUUCCAGUUUUCUUCCCUUGUUGAAUGAACCUGGACUGCAGCCCAAGGGGAUGUUAUCUUUCCCUUGUACCUAGAGAUUCCUAAAGCCUCUCUGAAGGACAGAGCAGGCUCUCAGUAAAGGUCUUUGGCCAAGGCAAGUGUCAGCUGGAAGGCCC